rnacentral:rRNA from 1 species
GCAUAUUAGUAAGCGGAGGAAAAGAAACUAACCAGGAUUUCCUUAGUAGCGGCGAGCGAACAGGAAAUAGCCCAGCACUGAAUCCCGCGGUUGUAACGAUCGCGGGAAUCGUGGUGUUCGGGAGGCAUCGCUUUCUAUUCUCGUCAUCUCCAAUCCACCAUGUUCUUCUACGGCGCCGUUUUCAUAUAGAGGGUGCUAGUUCCGUAGCGUCGAAUCGCGACGGCGAGAGGACGCUCCUCAGCUUCGUGCUCACUGAGUGCAGCGCUAAAUGUCUGGUAAGU